UACAGCCAGGGCCGUCUUUAACACGGGGCAAAAGGGACAGCUGCCCCAGGCCCAUUUGCUCCUGGGGGGCCCAAGGCAUCUGCCUCUUGAGCCCUGCUGGCCACUGGUGACAGGCUGUCACCUACA